rnacentral:tRNA from 1 species
GCGGGUGUAGUUCAAUGGUAGAAUGCAAGCCUUCCAAGCUUGACACGUGGGUUCGAUUCCCAUCACCCGCUCCA